GAUUCCUACGGGAGGCAGCAGUGAGGAAUAUUGGACAAUGGUCGAGAGACUGAUCCAGCCAUGCCGCGUGCAGGAAGACGGCCCUAUGGGUUGUAAACUGCUUUUGUACGGGAAGAAUAAUGCCCACGUGUGGGCAGAUGACGGUACCGUACGAAUAAGCAUCGGCUAACUCCGUGCCAGCAGCCGCGGUAAUAAU
rnacentral:rRNA from 1 species